UGGGGAAUAUUGCACAAUGGGCGCAAGCCUGAUGCAGCCAUGCCGCGUGUGUGAAGAAGGCCUUCGGGUUGUAAAGCACUUUCAGCGAGGAGGAAGGUGGUGAGCUUAAUACGCUCAUCAAUUGACGUUACUCGCAGAAGAAGCACCGGCUAACUCCGUGCCAGCAGCCGCGGUAAUACGGAGGGUGCAAGCGUUAAUCGGAAUUACUGGGCGUAAAGCGCACGCAGGCGGUUUGUUAAGUCAGAUGUGAAAUCCCCGGGCUCAACCUGGGAACUGCAUUUGAAACUGGCAAGCUAGAGUCUCGUAGAGGGGGGUAGAAUUCCAGGUGUAGCGGUGAAAUGCGUAGAGAUCUGGAGGAAUACCGGUGGCGAAGGCGGCCCCCCUGGACGAAGACUGACGCUCAGGUGCGAAAGCGUGGGGCAGCAAACAGGAUUAGNUACCCUGGUAGUCCACGCUGUAAACGAUGUCGAUUUGGAGGUUGUGCCCUUGAGGCGUGGCUUCCGGAGCUAACGCGUUAAAUCGACCGCCUGGGGAGUACGGCCGCAAGGUUAAAACUCAAAUGAAUU
rnacentral:rRNA from 1 species